UGCAGAUGUAGGUCAGAGGUAGAGCACUUACCUAGCAUGCAUGAGACUCUGGCUUCAAUCCCCAGAACUGCAA
rnacentral:tRNA from 1 species